rnacentral:rRNA from 1 species
AUCAACUUUCGAUGGUAGGAUAGAGGCCUACCAUGGUGGUAACGGGUAACGGGGUGUUAGGGCACGACACCGGAGAGGGAGCCUGAGAAACGGCUACCACAUCCAAGGAUGGCAGCAGGCGCGCAAAUUACCCAAUCCCGACACGGGGAGGUAGUGACAAUAAAUAACAAUACGGGGUUCUUUCGGAUCUCGUAAUUGGAAUGAGUACAAUUUAAAUCUCUUAACGAGGAACAAUUGGAGGGCAAGUCUGGUGCCAGCAGCCGCGGUAAUUCCAGCUCCAAUAGCGUAUAUUAAAGUUGUUGCAGUUAAAAAGCUCGUAGUUGAAUUUCGGGGUCAGCAGGUUGGUCGUGCCAAUGGUAUGCACUGGCCUUGCUGAUUCCUCCCUCUUGAUGAGCCGUAAUGCCAUUAAUUUGGUGUUGCGGGGAAUCAGGACUGUUACUUUGAAAAAAUUAGAGUGUUUAAAGCAGGCAAGCGCUUGAAUACAUUAGCAUGGGAUAAUGAAAUAGGACGUUUAAUCCUAUUUUGUUGGUUUCUAGGAUUGACGUAAUGAUUAAUAGGGAUAGUUGGGGGCAUUGGUAUUCAAUUGUCAGAGGUGAAAUUCUUGGAUUUAUUGAAGACUAACUACUGCGAAAGCAUUUGCCAAGGAUGUUUUCAUUAAUCAAGAACGAAAGUUAGGGGAUCGAAGACGAUCAGAUACCGUCGUAGUCUUAACCAUAAACUAUGCCGACUAGGGAUCGGAUGAUGUUAAUUUUUUAAUGACUCAUUCGGCGCCUUACGGGAAACCAAAGUGUUUGGGU